AGGACAGAAACACCAUGGACCCCUGAUUUGAAAGGGACUCUUGAGAGCAUUGAGGAGGAGACACCUUUAACAAGAGAUCUUCAAACUGCUGCAGAGUGGUUGAAGGUAAAUAUCAAUCUCUUCAGAGGCGCAGUGUUCCAGCCACGCUAUCUGGAGAUGGAGGAGGAAGCUCAGAGGAGAGCUGUGCAAAAGGUGUACGAUUACCCAAGCUUUGAGGCCAAAGAACCGUUUUUGUUUGUCUUUCAGAAUCAGGAAGACAUGGAACUUUUUAUUGUUGAAUGUCGGGACAAAAUGCGAUUAAAGAUUAAUUGCAUGUAUGAGUAGUUUUAGAAUAAUUUUAUAUAGAUUGCAUUGUUUAUUUAAUUUGUUUAUUUUAACAGUUUUAAUUUUUGUUGUAUUUUUCAUUAAAAUAUAACUUGUU